GAUGAAGACGUAGUGAAAUGCGAAAAGUAAUGUGAAUUGCAGAAUUCAGUGAAUCAUCGAAUCUUUGAACGCACAUUGCGCCCGCUGGUACUCCGGCGGGCACGCCUGUCCGAGCGUCAUUUCAACCCUCAAGCCCUCCUUCGGGAUGGGCCUGGUGUUGGGGCUCGGCCGCCAUCUCCGGCGGCCGUCCCCUAAAUACAGUGGCGGUCACGUCGCGACUCCUUUGCGUAGUAGAAACACCUCGCUCCGGAUAGCAACGCGGUCCACGCCGUAAAACCCCCAAUUUUCAAUGGUUGACCUCGGAUCAGGUGGGAAUACCCGCUGAACUUAAGCAUAUCAAUAAGCGGAGGA
rnacentral:misc_RNA from 1 species